GGAAAGAUAACAAACAUAUCCUUGCAGAGCCUAUGGUGUGGGCCAUGAACCGUCCUCUCCCCAAGCCUUUACUUAUAUUCCCAGGCCAACUCCUUUAAAAGAUGGGUCACAGCAUUAUUGUCUCUAAUGUACAAAGAAUUAGUUGUGGCUCCUAGAGUUAACUAACUAGUCAAAUUUACACCAGGAGAAGUGGCUGGGAAAACAAGGUGGGCUCAGAUAUGUUUCACUCCAAAUUCAUGGUCUUCCCAUCACACCUGCAAUGGAUUCACCAACACACAGAGGAUAGUGAAAGUCUCAGUUUAUUUUCUAGUUAGAUUACUAACUUUGUUUACAUGAGGCAACGCACUGUCAUCAAGAAAAAAGAAGACAACAAAGAAGAGAACUGUUUUGCAAUAGCAGGCAGCACAGCGCAGGAGCUCUCAGACUACCUCAGAUGCCAAGAGCCUGGUUUGAAUACAAGCCUUGCCAUUGUGUGACUUUGGGUUUAAAGACCCCUGACGUGACUUAUUGCCAUUCUGCUACUGAGCCUUGAGAGAUUAUGGUAAGUGCCAAGAAAAAAAAAAUGACUUUGAACUGCUCUUUCACCAGUUAAAAAUAACACUGAAACCAAAUGUAAACAUAAAAGAAGUGGUCAGAUUCGGGUUACAUAUUAACGGUGUUUGGUCAGGCUGGAGCUGAGGCACAGCAGCAGAGAAUGCCUUUUACUUAUCACUGUUUCCAAACCUCCCUACCUGGACUAGGCUUGACUGGAUUUACAAGAGACCUUUUGAAAAGAUGCAGAGAAGGCAAGCAGCACACAUUUCCUGGUAAUAAAUUUUAAAGGUUGCUAAAACAUUCCAGAGAUUUUCACUCAACAUUCCUCUGGCCAACACAUCUGCAAUCUGCCAAUCCUUAAAAAUAGGUGUUUUUGCAUUUUAAUCUCACAAACAUCUUUGAAAAUGCAUUUCUUCUCUGCCCCUGUGUUGGACAAAUCCAGCUUUUUCCAUUUUCUAAAAACCACAGAAAUAUAAUGCUGCUUAAUUCAUACAAGACUGAGCUAACUGGAGUUAAAAUAAAAUUUCUGAGAGUUUGUUUGGCUCACUCUUCCCUACCAGAUGAUUCCAUUCUUAAAACGGUCCUGUGAUUAUAUUCUCUCAUUACAGAGGUGUCCAGAAAAAAAAUAAGGAGUGCAGUUCUGAAAUUAUAUAAAAGCAAAAUUAUUACUCUAAACGUAAGAGCUGUGAUAGAUCGUGUCAUUGACCAUGGUUCUUUUCCCCUGACACACACGUCCCCACCACCCACCCACUGUAUCCAUAUGCCUUUUGCCAUAUGACUUUGCAGCUCUCCCCACUAAAGGGGCAGCCAUGCGAUUUGCUUUGGCCAAUGAAAUGAGGCAGUAGUGGUGGUAUCCUAGUUCUGAGCCUAGGUCUCAAGAAGUCUUAUGUGUUUCUGCUUAUCCUCUUAUACCUCUGCCAUCACCAUGAGCCAAACAUCCCCCAAGUAGCCCACUGGUCCCAGGACAAGGAGGGAGACAUGAAGCAGAGCUCAUCCAGCUGCUGCAGCCCCACUUGACCCAGAGACCUACACUGGGAAGCAGAGCUGCCCAGUCAAGUCCAACCUGGAUGUGUGGAACCCCAGCCAACCUGAUGCAUGAGCAGGAGAUCAGCUUAAUAUUGAAUCCUAGCCUCAAUGCUUUGGAUUUGUGCCAAGAAAAAUAACCUGAUCCCCAGAAUCAUUGAGAAUUGACGGGGGUCCUCAGGCUGUGACUCUGGACAGUGAACAUUGGUGGAAAUUGGUUAUCCCCAAUUUCCAGCUCACGGCAUUGGAAGACAUCAUAAACAUUAAUGGAGAGCGGGAUGCCAGAAUAAGUUGAUCCAAAUGAUGCAGGAAUAUUUAGCAGCAAGGAGAAAGGAAUUCACAUUUCUCAGUACCCACUAUGUGCCAUACUUUGUGAUAAGAUGGUUUCCCUCCAAUAUAUCCUCAUUGUCAGCAAUGUCGGGAAACAGGAAUCAUUUCCCCUUCUACAGGUGAUAAAACUGAAGCAAGAAACAUACAGGCUAACAUCAGCUGAGCUGAGAUUUGAACUCCACUCUUUUUGACCCUGGAGCUGAUGAAUGCUGCUUCUAGAGGUCUACAGGGGCCACCUGCCAAUGUGCAGGGAUUAAAUGAAGAAAUAAAGACCUAAGGCCUUUCUAGAAGCUAAAAACCCUAGGACUCCCUAAACACUUUGGAGUUGCAGCUCCCAUUGGUUAAGAGGUAUGGAUCGCAUAGUUUCAAGCUGAGCCAUGCUUUUCGGAAUACUCUGCUUUUUCUCAUCUUUUUCCACUAUAGUAAUACUAUAAAUGAGAUCUCUUCCAGAAAUAAAGGCAGAAAGCCCCAAGCUCGAUGCUAAAGAUGUUUGUGACAGAGUUCUGCAAGAAUAGGAUAUUUGCAGUCUCGUCUGCGAUAAUCAUUUCAGAAGUGGCUGCUGAUACUG
rnacentral:lncRNA from 1 species